AAAACACUUUAUUAAAAAUAUAAUUUAAAGAAGACUUUGUUAGAAAACAGAGCAGCCUAUGUACAGCAGUGCUUUAAAAGUCCAUGUAAGUCGACUAGUUAUAAAAAUAAUGCUCUUCUGUUGGCAUCAGCAUGAAUGGGGAGGGACGAACCUGGUUCCUAACUCCAGCUCCUGCCUCCUGCAGCCAGCUGCCACCACGCAGGAGACACUGGGCAAACCCUCCAUGAGAUGCAUACACCAAGCCCCAAGCAGCUGCCAUGCUCCAGCAUCCCUAGGCUGCUCAUGCAGCUGGUGCAACUUGGUUUUGUUUCUCCUCUGUUCAAGUACUUGAUUUCAGUUAAGGGUGUAUAGAAACAAUAGGGGCUUUUGUCUUACGAGGCCAUUUGAAAACAUACUCAGGCUCUCAGAACGAGGAGCAAGGAGGGAAAAAUAUAUAGAUACAUUUAAAGCCCCUUACUGAGAACUGAAAAGAAAGAAAGAAAGAAAGAAGUAGGAGCAGGCUUUUCUGGGAUUCCCAGGUAAAUGGCAGAGCUGUGCUGAGUUCAGUGAGUCUUUCCAAGUGUUUCAUCACGCUGAAAUUCAUGAGUAUGGAGUGAAGAUCAGAACCAGCAUCUGGAUCUCAUCUCCUCUCCAAAAUGAGCAAGCGUGCUCAAUCAGAGGACAAACAAAAAGAGCCAAACAGAUCCCAUUUUUUUCUCUGGAGAUGACAGGCCGCUUCUCUCCUAUUCCUGCAGCUGUUUCUGAGCAACAGGAGCUCACACACACAGUGUCCCUGCUGGAGUUUUACAGCAAAUCCUACAUCUUACGAGAAACCAGCACAUCCACGUCUCCAGCUAAGUGCAGCAGUGCUUGGGCUGCUCUUCAUUCAUGCAUUUACGUGAAUAGUUCUAUCCAAAGCCAGUUUCUGUUUUGCACACUCUUACGCGGCACCCACUCAUGAUGCAGAACAAGGGAACAGCUGAUGCUGCCUUCCCAGCCCACCUGUGGGCCUGGUAUCCCUCCUUAAGCAAAAGCAAACUCUUGUUUAAGUCCUUCCUCAAAUAAUUCAAGAUGAUAACUCUGAAAAUACCAUUACCUUUUGAGCGCUGGGUGCUGUUCUAGCUAAAGUAAAACUCUGCCUCUCCGGGAAGCUGCACCCCGGGAUCUCAACAAGGGGAGGUGGGUACAGCAGGAUUUUAACUGCCUUCCUACUUCACAAGCAAAAUAAAGAAAGGUAGAGAGAAAGCAGCUCUACAGACAGCUCCACCAACAGCCCGUGCCAUGUUCUGGCACAAAGUCAGAGGGUACUGCUGACUGUACAAUGAUGCUGACAGUGCAAUUUUUUUUCCACAGACGGAGGGAUUGCUGUGUUUACCCUUAGCCACUUUCCCACACACUGAUCAACGUGAAUGGCUCUUUCCCUCCUUCAGACUUUUACACCCUUUCCCUGUGGGACACCCUGAAAUCACGGUCCCAAAACUUACUCAGCUGGAACACAGAGACUGCAAAAAUUCAACUGUUGCUCACCAAUAAGAAUGAGCAGCUGCAGUGGAACACCACUCUGCUUUCCCACAUUCAGAGCUGGAAUAUUAAUUAGUCCUUGCCCAUGUUAAGUAUGUAGCAUAAAAAUACCAGAACAGAGCUGGAUGAGUGAUACACGUUAUUAUUUCAAUAGGGAAUAAAGUGUUCUGGGAAUUUGUGCAUAUCCUUCUCUUCUACAUUCUGUGCUGUUGAGUGCUGUAUAGGAUGCCAUGCACUGUACUACAGGAUUGCCAAGACACUGCUGGAAGGUGCCCCAAAUCCCCUGAGCUGACAGCUACAUGUUGAGUACUCUUCCAGAGACACCAACAGCCUAAAUAGGUGUUAAGUAUGGAUAGAAAAAGCAAAGGUAUGGAGAAGUAUUUACAACAGCUAAGUAAUAUGGUUCGGUGUCUGCCAUGUCCUGCAAAUGCUAUGAGAGAGCUAUUGGGAAGGGCGACAGCGCCAUGGCAAGCAUUAGAAAACACAGCCCUGAGCAAGGCUCCUGCUGGGCAAAGAGAUGGAAGAUACCAACAGUGCUAUAGUCCUUUCCCAAAUCAUACAGCAGAAACUUUACCAGCACAGAACGUUUCAUAGAAUCACCAAGGUUGGA
rnacentral:lncRNA from 7 species